UUAAGCAGUUAUACUCGGUAAAGCGAAUGAUUAGAGGACUUGGGGACGAAAUGUCCUUAACCUAUUCUCAAACUCUAAAUGGGUAUGAAGCCAGGGUUGCUUGACUCUGAACCCAGGCGUUGAAUGUUUGAGCUCCAAGUGGGCCAUUUUUGGUAAGCAGAACUCGGCGAUGUGGGAUGAACCAAACGUGGAGUUAAGGUGCCAAAGUGCCCGCUCAUUAGACCUCAUAAAAGGUGUUGGUUGAUAUAGACAGCAGGACGGUGGCCAUGGAAGUCGGAAUCCGCUAAGGAGUGUGUAACAACUCACCUGCCGAAUCAACUAGCCCUGAAAAUGGAUGGCGCUGGAGCGGGCCACCUAUACUCCACCGUCAUUGGCUUGUACACGUGCUUGUCGCGUAGUCUGGCCAUGACGUGUAGGAGGGUCGUGGUGGUUGCGUUGAAGGCUUUGGGCGUGGGCCCGGCCGGAGCUUCCACCAGUGCAGAUCUUGGUGGUAGUAGCAAAUAUUCAAGUGAGAUCCUUGAAGACUGAAGUGGAGAAGGGUUCCACGUGAACAGCAGUUGAAUGUGGGUCAGCCGAUCCUAAGGCACCGGCUAACGCCGUAACACACUACGGAUGACGACUUUUCUGUGCUUGCGCAGUUGGUCCAUCCGGUUGCCGAAAGGGAAGUGGGUUAACAUUCCCACGCCAGGCUAGGGAAAUGACGGUUCGCAAGAGCUGUUUUGCGCGGUAACGCAAAUGAACUCGCAGACGUCGUGUGGAGUCCGAGCCAGAGUUCUCUUUUCUGGUUUAGGGUGUGCGUGCCUGGAAGUGGCUCAGCUGGAGAUAGGGAUGUUGCGCCGUUAAAGCACCGCGGUUCCUGUGGGUGUCUCGUGCGCUCCACACGCCCUUUGAAAAUGCGAGGGAAGCUAUUUGAAUCUCCUGCCUGAUCGUACCGAUAUCCGCAGCAGGUCUCCAAGGUGAACAGCCUCUAGUCGAUAGAAUAAUGUAGGUAAGGGAAGUCGGCAAAUUAGAUUCGUAACUUCGGGAAAAGAAUUGGCUCUAAAGGUCGGGUCAGCCGGGCUGUUGCGUGAAACAGGCGGCUUUUGCCCGUGGCUGCGUGCUGUUCUUUCGGGGAUGGUGCGUGGACUAGUGGUGAGAGCUGCUUGUGGAGCGCUUCAGCUGCGUGUAUGCUCGUCAGGGUAUGCACUUCGGUUGGCGCUGAACGACCAGUUUAGAACUGGCACGAACUCGGGGAAUCCGACUGUCUAAUUAAAACAGAGGAGACGGAUGGUCCUUGUGGACGUUGACCGUGUCUGAUUUCUGCCCAGUGCUCUGAAUGUUAAGCCAAGGAAACUUGAUUAAGCGCGGGUAAACGGCGGGAGUAACUAUGACUCUCUUAAGGUAGCCAAAUGCCUCGUCGGCUAACUACCGACGCGCACGAAUGGAUCAACGAGAUUCCCACUGUCCCUAUCUACUAUCUAGCGAAACCACAGCCAAGGGAACGGGCUUGGCAAAUUUAGCGGGGAAAGAAGACCCUGUUGAGCUUGACUCUAGUCUGACUUUGUGAAGAAUCAUGAGAGGUGUAGCAUAAGUGGGAGCCGCAAGGCGCCAGUGAAAUACCACUACUUUCAUCGAUUCCUUACUUAAUCGGUAAAACGGGAGUGCGCCCGAAAGGGUGUCCAUUUUGGUGUUAAGUCGGGCCACCCGGUGGCCCGGCGACCCGCGCCGAUGACAGUGUCAGGCGGGGAGUUUGACUGGGGCGGUACAUCUGUCAAAGCGUAACGAAGGUGUCCUAAGGCGAGCUCAGAGAGGACGGAAACCUC
rnacentral:rRNA from 2 species